rnacentral:rRNA from 1 species
GGCCCAGACUCCUACGGGAGGCAGCAGUGGGGAAUAUUGCACAAUGGGCGAAAGCCUGAUGCAGCGACGCCGCGUGAGGGAUGACGGCCUUCGGGUUGUAAACCUCUUUCAGUAGGGAAGAAGCGAAAGUGACGGUACCUGCAGAAGAAGCGCCGGCUAACUACGUGCCAGCAGCCGCGGUAAUACGUAGGGUGCAAGCGUUAUCCGGAAUUAUUGGGCGUAAAGAGCUCGUAGGCGGUUUGUCGCGUCUGCCGUGAAAGUCCGGGGCUCAACCCCGGAUCUGCGGUGGGUACGGGCAGACUAGAGUGAUGUAGGGGAGACUGGAAUUCCUGGUGUAGCGGUGAAAUGCGCAGAUAUCAGGAGGAACACCGAUGGCGAAGGCAGGUCUGUGGGCAUUAACUGACGCUGAGGAGCGAAAGCAUGGGGAGCGAACAGGAUUAGCUACCUUGGUAGUCCAUGCAGUAAACGUUGGGCACUAGAUGUGGGGGACAUUCCACGUUUUCCGCGUCGUAGCUAACGCAUUAAGUGCCCCGCCUGGGGAGUACGGCCGCAAGGCUAAAACUCAAAGGAAUUGACGGGGGCCCGCACAAGCGGCGGAGCAUGCGGAUUAAUUCGAUGCAACGCGAAGAACCUUACCAAGGCUUGACAUGGGCCGGAUCGCCGCAGAAAUGUGGUUUCCCCUUUGGGGCCGGUUCACAGGUGGUGCAUGGUCGUCGUCAGCUUGUGUCGUGAGAUGUUGGGUUAAGUCCCGCAACGAGCGCAACCCUCGUUCCAUGUUGCCAGCACGUAGUGGUGGGGACUCAUGGGAGACUGCCGGGGUCAACUCGGAGGAAGGUGAGGACGACGUCAAAUCAUCAUGCCCCUUAUGUUUUGGGCUUCACGCCUGAUACAAUGGCCGGUACAAUGGGUUGCGAUACUGUGAGGUGGAGCUAAUCCCAAAAAGCCGGUCUCAGUUAGGAUUGGGGUCUGCAACUAGACCCCAUGAAGUAGGAGUCGCUAGUAAUUGCAGAUCAGCAACGAUGCGGUGAAUACGUUUCCGGGCCUCGUACACACCGCCCGUCAAGUCACGAAAGUUGGUAACACCCGAAGCCGGUGGCCCAACCC